rnacentral:lncRNA from 1 species
CAUAAAACACACCUUUGGAUUUUUAAAAACAAACAAACAAAGCACUAAGCACACACAUCUCAUACUGAUUUCACGUUAAUAUUACCAUCUCAUGAGCCUUCCUCUGUUCUUGGUCAAAAGGGUGAAGCACUUGCAGCCCACAUAUUUCACACACGUCCCCGUGCAGGUAAAGGCAGCGGUCCCCGAAGUGGCACGCUCCUGCUGCAGCGUAAGGACACAGCUGCUCUCCAUCACCAAAGGAACUUCCAGCUACUGGAUCUUCCAGCCCACUGCAAAUAGCUUCCAAAUAUGAAUGGGGCUUCAUUUCCACAUUAUCACUUUUGUCACUGCAACACACCACAUCAUUUGUGGCGCUGGCUUUUUCCUUCUCUUCAUUCAAGCCACACAGAUUUCUGUCCCUGAGCACAAGUGUUUUCUUCUCCCGUUUGCCACUCUCACGCAGCUUGCUCUUGGCUGCAGGUGCGCUGUGCUCAGGCGCAGGGCGAGGGCUGAGCAGCGCUGCUGACGCCAUGGGAGGAGGCGCAGGAGCUGCUGCACCCCCCGAGGCAGGGAGCCUGAUGUGGUCGUACCUGCAGCGGGCUCCAUAGGCGCACUGCCCCUUCUGGUAGUACUUGCAGACGGUGGAGGACUUGCUGCUGGACAGGUCGUGCGAGAACAGACACUUGCUUCCCUCCCGGCACACUCCCUGCACGUAGUACCUGCACGUCACCUGCUUGGUGCUCAUCUUCGCCCCGCUCCGGCCUCCCCGCCCGGCCGGCUCCGCGCGCCGCACGCCCGGGUUCCGCUCCGCCGCGGGGAAGGGGCGGGGCCGACACGGACACAAUUACCCGACGCGCCGCACCACAGAGACGCGGCGCGGCGGGAUAGAGCGCCGCUCGGCGGGAGCCAUGGAGGAGGCCGCCAUCCUGCGCGUGCGGCACUGCGG